AGUGAACGCUGGCGGUAGGCCUAACACAUGCAAGUCGAACGGCAGCACAGUAAGAGCUUGCUCUUACGGGUGGCGAGUGGCGGACGGGUGAGGAAUACAUCGGAAUCUACUUUUUCUUGGGGGAUAACGUAGGGAAACUUACGCUAAUACCGCAUACGACCUACGGGUGAAAGCAGGGGAUCUUCGGACCUUGCGCGUUUGAAUGAGCCGAUGUCGGAUUAGCUAGUUGGCGGGGUAAAGGCCCACCAAGGCGACGAUCCGUAGCUGGUCUGAGAGGAUGAUCAGCCACACUGGAACUGAGACACGGUCCAGACUCCUACGGGAGGCAGCAGUGGGGAAUAUUGGACAAUGGGCGCAAGCCUGAUCCAGCCAUACCGCGUGGGUGAAGAAGGCCUUCGGGUUGUAAAGCCCUUUUGUUGGGAAAGAAAAGCAGCAGGUUAAUACCCCGCUGUUCUGACGGUACCAAAAGAAUAAGCACCGGCUAACUUCGUG
rnacentral:rRNA from 1 species